rnacentral:sRNA from 1 species
UGCUUUAUACUAAAUUUCUUUUGUUCAAAAUAUUUUUCCUACAUAGAACAAAGAGGUGAAGAAAAAGACUUUAGAGUCGAAGAAAGUAUCUGCAUCUACCUUAAAAAGAGAUGCAGAUGCUUCAAAAGCUGUUGAAAUUGUUACUUCAACUUCUGCUGGUUAGUUAUGCAAUAUCUCCCUCCAUCCCUUCCCGAUAAACCCACAAGACACAAAACAUAAGAAAGCCAAAACUGGACAAGCCAAGGCAUCUGUAGCCAAAGUAAACAAAUCUGCAGGGAAAUCAGCAAGUUCUGUAAAAUCUGUGGUAACGGUAGCUGUUAAAGGUAAUAAAG